CCCCACCCGUGAGCUGGGCCAGUGAAACGGGGAGGGUGGCCACGGGCUAGGAAAAUCUGGCUUUGGGGACUGGGGAGGCGCAAUGAGGCUUGGAGGGAGAAUGAAGAAGCCGGGGAGAAGAGAAAGAAAGGCUUCCGGUUUCCUUUUCGAGAUUUCGCCCAAAUUUGAAACAAACCAGUAGUGAGCGCGGGCACCAAUAACCGCGGCACUCAAGUGGGGAGUUUCUCUUCUGACGUCUCUUCUGGCGCCCGUUACAAAUAGCCGGGUGGCUGCGCUCGCCUGGAGGAAGAACUCACCAGCAGCUGUGGGGAGGAGGGAAGAGGGGAGAAACAGGACCCGGACCAGAGGGAUGGGGGCGCCCGGGAGCACCAGGUCCCUCGAGGCGUCUCGAGAUGGGUGGAAUCAGUCCUCGCCCCAGAUCAAUUUGGAUGAAAGACAGAGGCUGACUGUAGCUGCUAAAGUAUCUUGGAAGAUUGAAUGAGAUACUACAUCAGUGUGACAGUACUCUUGCAAGGUGGUUCAAGGAUCUUGAUAGGCAGACAGCUCUUUACAUGGACUUUGGAGGAGAUCUGAGGGCAGUGCCUGCUGGUCUGAAGUGCGGUGGGACUGUCCAAUCCUUUCUUGCCUCACAGGAUUAAUUCCUCAUUACCUUGCUGUGGAUUGCUCUGCUCACACAGUUCUAUAGUUUCCACAUACAGGUAAUUGUUGAAAUGCUCUGUUACAGUGAAAUGUUGAAAUACUGUAUUACAAACUGACUCUGCUAUGAUAUUCAUGGAAAAUCUGAAUUCAAAUCCAGCUUCAGAACUUACCAGCUAUGUUUCUUUGGGUGACUCAUAACCCCUAUUUUGCCUCAGUUGUUCCUCAGUAAAAAGGGGAUGUGCUAGAGAAGGAAAUGGCAAACCAUUCCAGUAUCUUUACCAAGAAAAGUGGGGUCACAUAGAAUCAAACACUACUGAACAACAACAAAUGAUAUAC
rnacentral:lncRNA from 1 species